rnacentral:rRNA from 1 species
AAUGAACGUUGGCGGCGUGGAUUAGGCAUGCAAGUCGAGCGAGAACCCCGCAAGGGGGGACAGCGGCAAACGGGGUAGUAACGGGUAGGUGACGUACCCUCGGGUUGGGGAUAGCCACGGGAAACUGUGGGUAAUACCCAAUAAUCUCUGCGUUCGUGAUGGAUGUGGAGCAAAGGUGUGAUUCCACCUGAGGAGCGGCCUGCUUCGUAUUAGCUAGUUGGUGAGGUAACGGCUCACCAAGGCGACGAUGCGUAGGGGGUGUGAGAGCAUGACCCCCACCACUGGGACUGAGAUACUGCCCAGACACCUACGGGUGGCUGCAGUCGAGAAUCUUCGGCAAUGGGCGCAAGCCUGACCGAGCGACGCCGCGUGUGGGAUGAAGGCCCUUGGGUUGUAAACCACUGUCAGAGGGGAUGAAAUGCGGGAGAGCUAUCUCUUCCGUUUGACAUAGCCUCAGAGGAAGCACGGGCUAAGUUCGUGCCAGCAGCCGCAGUAAAAC